rnacentral:lncRNA from 1 species
UCUCCAGGCCUGUGAUGUGAGGGGCUGCUGUGAAGGUUUCUGACAUGCCCUGGAGACAUUUUCCCCAUUGUCUUGGCAGAGCCCAGAAAACACAUGCGUUUUGAAGAGAGGAGGAAGAGAAAUGAUCAGGCUUAUAGGGCUUAUAGUGUGUUGCUGCCACAGAGCAUAAAACUGGGGAAGCCCUGGGAACCACAGAAGAUGGAAGGAGGAAGAGAGGAAUGGUGGCAAGACUCUACCAGCUUCCCAGGCCAAGUCUGAUUUGAUAUAAAAAUGUCUGCUAGUAGUCUCAAUUGAUUCCUAUUUUUCUGUCAAUAACUUUGUAUUUAUGGAGUUUUGAAGUGAAUAC